GAAGCAGAAGACACUUGCUGUGAAAACGGAAAUGGCUGCCUAAUUCUGAAGAAAAGUUUAUUUUAGGGAUCUUUACAGGAUGUUGUCCACUAAGCUAAUGAUGGGGAUUGUAGCACUACCCUGCACACAGACAUGGAAUGGAUUUGCCCAGUCCAUUAUUAGAAGAGUGACCAGGACUGUUCGUCUCAUCAGAGAAGUUUCUCGAGAAGCAUUACAAGGGACUUGUAUGAAUGGGCAGAAGAAUUUUAUUUAACUGACCACCCCAUCAUUGCCUGCUGUUGGAGACUGAACACUUUAUUGAAAAUUGCUGGGUGUAGCAAUCAGUGGGUGUCCUUAUUUGCCCUGAGAAGAGUCAGAGAAGUAUUCAUUUUUAUUGCAAAAAGUUUAGUUCAUGUAAUGAGCAUGAACACACAUUUUACAGUUAUCUCCCUUAGACUAUGUAAAUUAUAAUACAGCACUUGCUAAUGAUGUUAUUUUACAUAUUAAUGUUGAUUGAAUGUUGUCAAUUUGGUUCAUAGUCAAAGAUAUGAGUUAUAGCUGCCUGUAUUGUACCAGUUUACAUACAGUUACCUACAGAAUUAACAGUAGAUUACAUGUACCUGACUCCCCAGGUUACCUGAGUGAUUAUUGCUGUUGGUCUGCAUCCAUCAUUGUGUUUCGUCUGUCGUGCAUUACCAGUAUUGAACAUGUUAUAUACCUGUCUUUAGAUGGGACGUAUUAACUUAAGCUCCCUGGGCCUCAUGAGAUGGUGACACCUUGCAGUAGGAGCAGUUCCUACCGAUAUCUCUUAAAAGCAGACAGAGGUUCUCAUAGCAUCUGAUCCAUUUCUGAAGACAAACUUUUGUAUGGAGCUGGGUAGCAGUUACGUAGAUGUCCAGCUUAUUGAUGAGGAUAAUUUCCCUGAGACUCUAACAUUUUGUAGGACAUGGAUAGCUUUAUUGCUGUAGAAAAUGUCAGGACGGUGGAGAUUUAGAUAAGUGGUGUGAUGUUAUUGAUGGUAAACAGAAGACUGUGACCUUGAAUCUGAAGAUCUGUGAUGAAGACUGGACGUUUGCGGUCACUCUCUGUUACAGUACUACAAAUCUAACAGUGCGACACUCAGCCACAAAGAGGUUGUCUCUGAUGUCCACACAUAAACCGUAUGGACCGAGUAAAUCACAGUGAAUGUAACGGAGGAACUGUCCGUCCUGAUCUAGGAUGUGGAUACGGUCAUUGAGAUAGUCUGCUGUCAGGAUGUGACUCUGGCUGUCUGUAGUGAUGCCGUAUGGAUUAAAUGAUUGCUUGGUAUUAGAGGGAUGACCAGUGUAUCUAAAUCGGAGUUUUCCUGACUGAUUGACCACCACUACUGCACUAGCGUUAUAGUCAGCCACACAGAUAUCCAGGUUCUUGUUCUCACUGAGGUAUUUAAUGUUAUAACCACCAGAUGAGUAGAGAGGACGACCC